GGGCCGGUAGCUCAGCCUGGAAGAGCGCCGCCCUUGCAUUCCAGGCUGCACCGAGGUCGAGGAA
rnacentral:tRNA from 1 species